GACGAACGCUGGCGGCGUGCCUAACACAUGCAAGUCGAACGGGGUAGAGAGCUUCGGUUUUCUACUUAGUGGCGAACGGGUGAGUAACGCGUGAGAAACCUGCCUUUCAGUGGGGGACAACAGUUGGAAACGACUGCUAAUACCGCAUAAUGUUAUCGAGCGGCAUCGCUUGAUAACCAAAGCUUUAUGUGCUGAAAGAUGGUCUCGCGUCUGAUUAGCUAGAUGGCGGGGUAACGGCCCACCAUGGCGACGAUCAGUAGCCGGUCUGAGAGGAUGAACGGCCACAUUGGGACUGAGAUACGGCCCAGACUCCUACGGGAGGCAGCAGUGGGGAAUAUUGGGCAAUGGGGGAAACCCUGACCCAGCAACGCCGCGUGAAGGAAGAAGGCCUUC
rnacentral:rRNA from 1 species